AUGACAUGCACUCCUUUUAUGUCUGCAGCUUCCACUCCAACUUCAGGACAAUUAACACUGCUGGAGGACAGUUGACCAAACACAGAAGUGACAAGUGUUCCCAGAGACCAGGGUGGCUGACGACAGCCAUAAUGCAAAAAUGUGUUGUUGUUUGGGCUAUGGCGCCAUCUUUCGGACAACUUCACGCACUGCAGGCUUUCUGAAUUGCCCUUCUGUUUGGACUGAGCUUUCAACCGGAAUUACAUUUUCCGUUCUGUCUUCGAGACGUCCAUAGCAUUUCUACUGAUAUGGACUCUUCAUUCAUCACAUCCAAGCAAGGCCAUACCUUUCGGAAUGCCAAGUCGGUAAAGGCCCACAGACAAACCAACCUUUGGGUGUGUUCAAAACUUCGGACUUCAGAAAGAGAAGACCGUCCACAGGAUUUUCACCAUGUUUGUUACGUCUGUUUGGCAUCGUGGUGCCGGGUUUGAUUCCCUCGUGGAUCCGUCAACAAGUGAACACAGCAAAGCCUCUCUCCUCCUCUCCAAGCCUCUCGGGACGUCAGCACUAUUAGGUAACAAAUGAUAACCUUGGUUGAGUUUUUUUUUUUUUUUUUUUUUUGCUCCAAUUGCAAGUUAGUGUCCAGGAGCACACAGUCAGUGAUGCUUGUCUUUGACUCUGUGGAUCCUUUUGAGCCUACUUUCAGUCCUUUUUUGUUUAUGUCGUACCAGAAUUAUACCGCAUUUUACAAACUAUAAGCCACUACUUUUUUUUUCCUACGCUUUAAACUGUGCAGCUUAUAAAACGGUGUGACUCAUUUAUGGACGUUUUCUUUCAUAAAGUUUUGUAUUCAACCCCGACAGUGAAAAGAUGUGUUAUUGUUUUUUUCCGUCAUCAGUUUAUGUAAACGCUACACUUCAAGUGCAUAGCAGGUAAAUAAAUACAAGGUUUUUUU